rnacentral:rRNA from 1 species
GACGAACGCUGGCGGCGUGCUUAACACAUGCAAGUCGAACGAGAAUAGAUUGGAAGCUUGCUUUUGAUUUAUUCGAGUGGCGGACGGGUGAGUAACGCGUGAAUAAUCUGUCCUAUACAGGGGGAUAACGCAUCGAAAGAUGUGCUAAUACCGCGUAGGACCACGGUGCCGCAUGGCACUGAGGUGAAAGGAGCAAUCCAGUAUAGGGUGAGUUCGCGUCUGAUUAGAUAGUUGGUGAGGUAACGGCCCACCAAGUCAACGAUCAGUAGCCGACCUGAGAGGGUGAUCGGCCACAUUGGGACUGAGACACGGCCCAGACUCC